rnacentral:rRNA from 1 species
GUCUUCACUAGUGAUUUCUGUUUGAUCCCGGCGGAGGCUACUGCUAUUGGGAUUCGAUUAAGCCAUGCGAGUUGAAUGAAUUUAGAUUCAUGGCGUACGGCUCAGUAACACGUGGAUAACUUACCCUUAGGACUGGGAUAACUCUGGGAAACUGGGGAUAAUACCGGAUAUUAGGCUAUGGCUGGAAUGCUUUGCCUUUGAAAUGUUUCUUGUAUUCGCCUAAGGAUAGAUCUGCGGCUGAUUAGGUCGUUGGUGGGGUAAUGGCCCACCAAGCCUAUGAUCGGUACGGGUUGUGAGAGCAAGAGCCCGGAGAUGGAACCUGAGACAAGGUUCCAGACCCUACGGGGUGCAGCAGGCGCGAAACCUCCGCAAUGUACGAAAAUGCGACGGGGGGAUCCCAAGUGUUAUUCUUAAUAGGAUAACUUUUCAUUAGUGUAAAAAGCUUUUAGAAUAAGAGCUGGGCAAGA